UAAUCUCUUCUUCUACUCAUUUCCUUCAUUUUCCAGCUAUAACAUUCUCUUAAAAAAGCUCCAACACACCAACAACUGAUUAUUGUUCAUCAUUUUUCCCUUUCCUUCUAAAUUUAUUUAAAGGCAACAACAUCUGAAGUCCUUUACCUCCAUUUUAACCCCUUACAUGUCAAUUUCCUCCUUUCAAGACCCAUUAAUCAAUCAAAAUAACACUAAAGAAAGAUAUGAAGCAAACUUGGGAAAUCUCUAAAUUUGAACCAGUGCAUAAAAGGCAAAGGCAGAAGAACUAAGAGUUGAGGUAGCAAGCAAAUUCCACAACCCAACUCGAAUUAAAUGAAUUUCUUCUCAGUAAAUAGUAGGUUUUUUUUGUAACUGAUUUCACAUUUUUGCAUGUGGAUUUUUGGGUUUGAUUCUGAUUUUACUUUAAUGAUUUGAAUUGGUUUAUGAGUUGAAAUGAUGGGAUUCUUAGAGAGAGGAAAAAC
rnacentral:lncRNA from 1 species